GAUGAAGAACACAGCGAAAUGCGAUAAGUAAUGUGAAUUGCAGAAUUCAGUGAAUCAUCGAAUCUUUGAACGCACAUUGCGCCCGUCAGUAUUCUGGCGGGCAUGCCUGUUCGAGCGUCAUUACGCCCCUCAAGUCCCCUGUGGACUUGGUGUUGGGGAUCGGCGAGGCUGGUUUUCCAGCACAGCCGUCCCUUAAAUUAAUUGGCGGUCUCGCCGUGGCCCUCCUCUGCGCAGUAGUAAAACACUCGCAACAGGAGCCCGGCGCGGUCCACUGCCGUAAAACCCCCCAACUUUUUAUAGUUGACCUCGAAUCAGGUAGGACUACCCGCUGAACUUAAGCAUAUCAAUAAGCGGAGGA
rnacentral:misc_RNA from 1 species